CGGACGGGUGAGUAAUGUCUGGGAAACUGCCCGAUGGAGGGGGAUAACUACUGGAAACGGUAGCUAAUACCGCAUAACGUCGCAAGACCAAAGAGGGGACCUUCGGGCCUCUUGCCAUCGGAUGUGCCCAGAUGGGAUUAGCUAGUAGGUAGGGUAACGGCUCACCUAGGCGACGAUCCCUAGCUGGUCUGAGAGGAUGACCAGCCACACUGGAACUGAGACACGGUCCAG
rnacentral:rRNA from 1 species